AAUGAACGUUGGCGGCGUGGAUUAGGCAUGCAAGUCGUACGGGAGUAGCAAUACUUCAGUGGCGGAAGGGAUAGUAAUGUAUGGAUAACCUACCCUCAGGUCGUGGAUAGCGGCGGGAAACUACCGGUAAUACACGAUGAUAUCUCCGGAUCAAAGGUGUGAUUCCGCCGGAGGAUGGGUCCAUAUCCUAUUAGCUAGUUGGCAAGGUAACGGCUUACCAAGGCUCUGAUGGGUACCGGGCGUGAGAGCGUGACCCGGAUCACUGGGACUGAGACACUGCCCAGACACCUACGGGUGGCUGCAGUCGAGAAUCUUCGGCAAUGGACGAAAGUCUGACCGAGCGACGCCGCGUGCGGGACGAAGGCCUUCGGGUUGUAAACCGCUGUCAAGUUGGAGGAAAUGCGUGGGGGUCAUCCCCUGCGUUUGACCGAUAGCAAAAGGAAGGACGGGCUAAGUUCGUGCCAGCAGCCGCAGUAAUAC
rnacentral:rRNA from 1 species